CAAGGAUCCAUGGAUAUAACACCUGCAUUGUCUACAGGUUCAUUUCUGCUGCACACUGGCCCCUCUCCUCCUCUGCAUUCAUUGUUACUAUUACUAUCCCUGGGAGAUAAACCAUCACAAGCUGCAUAUUUAUUAAUCCUUCUUACCUGCUUCUCUUUUUGUUCCUGGCUCUCAUUCUGUUCAGCUUGAGGAAACAGAAAUGCAGUAGCACAUCAUAGCAGAAUUCCUUACACAGCACAUUUUUAUCCACAGAUCUCCAAGUGCUCUACUAGGUGCUGAUGAGUAUGGGAGUCCGGAUGUCUCAGGGAUUACAUAAUGGGAGAGAGAGAGAAUCUUUGGCUUUAAGUCAUCCAUUCAAUUGCAGCUAGGUCAGACAUGUGCUAGCAUUUAUAUUGUCCACUAUUCCAUGUACUAAGAAGUUGGUGGUCUUAUUCUGGUGUCUAGCUUGAAAGGAACAUUUUGCUUAUAAUGUGAAGAGGAUUUAUUAGCAACAAGGCUGAGAUGUAUGUGAGCAUGGAAAAUUACGCAGGCCUGAAAAUUUUGGGCUCUGCCAGGAUUUCAGUACACUGGGAGAUGCUGCGGAUAAUGCUGACCAUGCUGUAUAACUCCUGCAGCCUCGCAGGUUG
ensembl:lncRNA